AAAAAUAGUUUAAAGGUAGAACACAGUUUUUAAAAAGCUGAAGUAAGAGUUCAAGUCUCUUUUCUU
rnacentral:tRNA from 1 species